CCAAUAAACUUGAUUUUACAAGAGUGUAGUUUCCAAAAAAAUUUAGUAUAAAAAGCUUUCAGCUUUACAAUUUCUAAUGUCAUACUCCCUCUGUCCCUCUCAUUUCUUUACGGUUACUAUUUUAGGAUGUCCCUCUCAUUUCUUUACAUUACUAUAAAUAGUAAGUUUUUCUCAUCAUUACACCCACUAUCUUCCCCCACUAUCUCAUAUUUAACAAUAAAAACUACUAUUACACCCACUACUAUCCUCCACUAUCUCAAAUCUAUUAUUAAAUAUUGGUAGGUCCCACAACUUUACCCACUUUUCAACUAAACUUACUACUCCCUCUGUUUUUUUUUAUAUGACACUUUUGACUUGGGCACGUAUAUUGGUCUCCGUGUCCCCCUCCAACGUAAACAACCGAGGGGGACGGAGGGAGUAUGUUUUAAAAUUGAAUUGCUAACUAGCUAGUCGAUCAUCUCUCCCUGUGCUGGACUCGACUAGUGUCCGCUUAGCGAUCUGCUUGAUUGAUGAAAAAUUCAGAGACGAGAAAUCGAAUUUCCAUGCCUCGAUCAUUCACGAUCUCGCAUAUCCAGUCUCUUGACUGCAUCAUCAAAAGCUCCUCAAAAUAGACAGAGCAUUCAAGAUAAACAAUAUCCAACCAUACGAAUUCAUAACAAAAGUAGCCAUUUUUAGAUUCUCAUGUCCAAUUUGUCAACCAACGAAGUCGUCACAAAAAGAAACUUUUGAACAGAAGCAGCCACGUGUGCGUGAAGAUGAAGAUGAAAUAUGCUGAAAGAGGCAAAAAACUAAACAACUCAACCUUCCACGUGGCCGUACAACAGCAAGUGGUGAUCUGACUCAGCAGCUCCAGGCACUAAAUAGCACUAGAAAAACAGGGGUAAAUAUCUCCAACAAUCAACCACAAAUUCCCCACAGCCCCACAUUUAAUUUUCACCCAGCUCAUCCUUUAAAAAGUU
rnacentral:lncRNA from 1 species